CAGUAGCCACGGUAAUGCGUAGGGUGCAAGCGUUAAUCGGAAUUACUGGGCGUAAAGCGUGCGCAGGCGGUUUGUUAAGACAGAUGUGAAAUCCCCGGGCUCAACCUGGGAACUGCAUUUGUGACUGGCAGGCUAGAGUAUGGCAGAGGGGGGUGGAAUUCCGCGUGUAGCAGUGAAAUGCGUAGAUAUGCGGAGGAACACCGAUGGCGAAGGCAGCCCCCUGGGCCAAUACUGACGCUCAUGCACGAAAGCGUGGGGAGCAAACAGGAUUAGAGACCCCUGUAGUCCCUGUCUCUUAUAC
rnacentral:rRNA from 1 species